UCCUGAUGAUGACACCCGCACGUGUCAUACGCCCCGGCUGAUCCCAGAACCUGCGAAGGUGAACCCACUGGGGUUGCCGGGGCAACAAGGUGAAGGCCUUGUUGGGGUUGCCAACAGUCUGACUGGGGAC